rnacentral:lncRNA from 1 species
AUGGAGGUAGUAAUAAGGAAUUACAUAGAUAACAGAAGUGGAAAAACGGCCUCAGCAAAGAGGGACAGGGAAAAGUUAGUACUAGCUUUGUUCUUAGAGGAAGGAGAGAGGUGGCGAACAUUACAGAGAGUGGCGGGAGAUAUAAUUGCUAAUAACAACAAGGCUCAACCAUUGCCUCUGACGGUUGAGUCACCGCUGCACAAACUAGUACCGUUGUACUCAUUGCUAAAAGACAACGUAGAAUCUAAAGGGGAAGUCACACUAGAUGAAGGAGAUAAUAAAUGUAACAAUACUGACAUUAAUUCUAGUAAGAGUAAAGAUGAGGACGAAGAUGGGGCAAGUGGUGUUGAGCACAGUAAUGAAGAUGUGAAAGAUGGCAAUGAGCAGGUUUGCGAGGGGCCUUCUCCAGGAAAGAAAAGGAGAGGAAAGAGAUCAGUAAAGAGAACGAAGGCUCAGAGGAGUGAUAGAGAUGGGGAAGAGAGUUUCCGUGCGUUUCGAGGGCCAGAGGAGCCUUGCUGUAGUGCAGCAUUAUGGGACUCCCUGGCACUCGAAACACAGGGGAGACCAAGGAGAUCACAGAGAGAAGAAAAAGCACCCGAAACUUCUCCAGGGAACUAUCCUAUUCUAGUCGAAGGACAACAGGUCCAUUAUCAACCAUGGGGUUCACAGGACUUGGAGGGAGUCAUUUCUAGACUCCCUAACAUACUUAACGGGGCGUCUAAAUGGAUUAGAACAUUUGAGGAACUCACAGUGGGAAAGCUAAUGGCAGUGGGGGACCUGAAAGCUCUGUUGGCAAGAGUAUUGGGGUUAUCUAAAUUGGAGUUUGUACUGAGGAAUGGAGGGUUGAAUAUACUGGAUGGAAAGUAUGAUGAGACUACACUUGAUCAUUGCAGAGGGGCGUUGUGGGCCACACUCAGGAGGGAGUUCCCGGUCCGUAUGGAUCCUAAAAGCAUGAGAGGUCUCCCUAUUGGUGACACAGAGAACCCUGCAUCCUACCUGCAGGCCCAAGUAGACAGAUGGCGCAUUGAGACGGAUGAGGAUCCUGAGAUCCAUCCGGUGUUCUCUGUCAUGUUUAGAAACUCUGUGAUAGAGACACUACCCAGCCAAAUCAAAGCCAAGCUAGAGGAUGUGGUUGGACUGUCUACAUCAGGAUCUCAUAGAGAUUUUAAUGACCAUUUAGUUCAUGCAGUGGAUGAAUAUCGUCAGGAUAAACAAAGAAUACAGGAACAAAGCAAGGAGGUUCAGAGGAAGCUAUAUCAGCUUCAGCUGGAAGAUCUCACAAGGAAGGAAAGAGAUAAGAAGAGACAGGCAGGUGUUUUAGAACCAGCUGCUGUAAUACCGCAAGCCGCCCAGCAGGGCGCACUUCAAAACCAAUAUCCAAGAUUGGCAUUUUCUCUCCCAGUACAACAGCCUCAGAGCCAACUGUCACCUACUCCACCUGUUACACAUGUGCACAUCCAUAAUUAUGGGAACCCCACAAAUAAAAAUAGACAGAAUCAGCAACAGGGGUCCCAAGGACAGAAUAGAAAUAAUCAACAGCAAGGAUUCCAAGGGCAACGCAGAGGUCCUUUAGUAUGUUAUGGGUGCAACCAGGAAGGACAUACUAAGAGAAAUUGUUUCACUAACCCUUUUCCAUCCCAACAAGGACAGGGCAACGUCUAUCAGGGGAGGCAAGACCAAGGGAGCUACAACCGGGGACAGCAGGGCCCCUUUGUAGGUCAGGGAUACUAG